rnacentral:rRNA from 1 species
UACGUAGGGUGCAAGCGUUGUCCGGAAUUAUUGGGCGUAAAGAGCUCGUAGGCGGCUUGUCACGUCGGCUGUGAAAACCCGGGGCUCAACCCCGGGCCUGCAGUCGAUACGGGCAAGCUAGAGUUCGGCAGGGGAGACUGGAAUUCCUGGUGUAGCGGUGAAAUGCGCAGAUAUCAGGAGGAACACCGGUGGCGAAGGCGGAUCUCUUGGCCGAUACUGACGCUGAGGAGCGAAAGUGUGGGGAGCGAACAGG